GUUAAGGAUGUUUUUCAAGAUUCUCGAGAUAACUGAAUAGGUUUAUUAUGAACCACUAACAUGAAGUAAAAUCAGGAACAGUAUUUUCAAAUAUUUCCUUGCCAAGUUUAUCUCGAGUACUUUUAAGAGCUUUAGGGAAAGUUACGUAACGUUUCAGGAGUAUUCUUCAUACUUUUCGUGCUAAUUCAACGAAAAAACACUUAUGAUGAUGCAAAUGAUUAUUAAAUACGUGGCCUUAAAAAAAAAAAAAAAACUCCUAUAUGAAACACAAACAUUUCAAAACACAUGGUCUGAUGCUCCUUAAGUAACCAUGCAGCGCAAAGUCUUCUAUUUGUUAUUUAUAGACUCCUUUAGGUAUAUGAAAAACUUGACAUGUAUAGGUUAAUGAAAACUACGAUAUUGCGUCUCCUUUCAUAUCUUGCUGACCUGUAACCUAUUCCAUCUGUUAUUUCUCGCAGGUGAAGAAUACUACUUAAGCAGGUGUCGCCUCAGGUUGUGGUUCCCUUCAUUCAGCAGAGAACAGGCUAAACUAGAACUGUCAUCACGGAUUUUCCUUCAAAGGCCAUAAGAUACAGAGAAAACAGCAGCCGUACAUUGCAGGUGCCUUUACCGGAGGAGCCAUCGCUGCAGACAACUUGAGGAUGAAUGUAGUGAUGGUAUGCUUCCCGACACUCUACAUUGCUGAUGACCGUUAGUUCCACCUGCCGCAGGACCGGUGAUAUGGCCGAUGCAUCUGAAAGUAAUUUAGCAUUAGACUGAAUAUGAUCGCCACUUUUAUCUAUGCAUGUCAUGAUAAUUGCAAAGGACUCAAA